rnacentral:misc_RNA from 1 species
CCGCACUGUGACUUUAAUAGCCUACGGCUAUACAUAUUGUGUAUUUAUUUUUGGCUUAUCGCCAGAUUGACUAUAUGGCUUUUUAGCCACGCUAUUUGCACACCGGGAGACACUUUGUGACCGAUGGUGUGAUGGCCCGAGGUACUUGGUACCCAGUGCCAGUUUACCCAUUUAUCCAGUCCGGUCUACUAGUAUAGGUUACUUGGGCAAU